GAUGAACGCUGGCGGCGUGCCUAACACAUGCAAGUCGAGCGGGAAAUUCCUAAUUGAAACUUCGGUCGAAAGAGGGGAUGGAGAGCGGCGGACGGGUGAGUAACGCGUAGGCAACCUGCCCUUUGCAGAGGGAUAGCCAUUGGAAACGAUGAUUAAAACCUCAUAACACUUUUUUGUCACAUGGCAAGGAGGUCAAAGAUUUAUCGGCAAAGGAUGGGCCUGCGUCUGAUUAGCUAGUUGGUGGGGUAACGGCCUACCAAGGCGACGAUCAGUAGCCGACCUGAGAGGGUGAACGGCCACAUUGGAACUGAGACACGGUCCAA
rnacentral:rRNA from 1 species